GACGAACGCUGGCGGCGUGCUUAACACAUGCAAGUCGAACGGAAAGGCCCUGCUUUUGUGGGGUGCUCGAGUGGCGAACGGGUGAGUAACACGUGAGUAACCUGCCCUUGACUUUGGGAUAACUUCAGGAAACUGGGGCUAUUACCGGAGAGGAUCUCCUGCUGCAUGGGGGGGGUUGGAAAAUUUCGGCGGUUGGGGAUGGACUCGCGGCUUAUCAGCUUGUUGGUGGGGUAGUGGCUUACCAGGGCUUUGACGGGUAGCCGGCCUGAGAGUGUGACCGGCCACAUUGGGACUGAGAUACGGCCCAGACUCCUACGUGAGGCAGCAGUGGGGAAUAUUGCACAAUGGGCGGAAGCCUGAUGCAGCAACGCCGCGUGCGGGAUGACGGCCUUCGGGUUGUAAACCGCUUUCGCCUGUGACGAAGCGUGAGUGACGGUAAUGGGUAAAGAAGCACCGGCUAACUACGUG
rnacentral:rRNA from 1 species